rnacentral:rRNA from 1 species
AUUGAACGCUGGCGGCAGGCUUAACACAUGCAAGUCGAGCGAGCGGCGGACGGGUGAGUAAUGUAUGGGGAUCUGCCUGAUGGAGGGGGAUAACUACUGGAAACGGUAGCUAAUACCGCAUACCAUCAGAUGAACCCAUAUGGGAUUAGCUUGUAGGUGAGGUAACGGCUCACCUAGGCGACGAUCCCUAGCUGGUCUGAGAGGAUGACCAGCCACACUGGAACUGAGACACGGUCCAGACUCCUACGGGAGGCAGCAGUGGGGAAUAUUGGACAAUGGGCGAAAGCCUGAUGCAGCCAUGCCGCGUGUGUGAAGAAGGCCUUCGGGUUGUAAAGCACUUUCAGCGGGGAGGCGUUACCCGCAGAAGAAGCACCGGCUAACUCCGUGCCAGCAGCCGCGGUAAUAC